rnacentral:rRNA from 1 species
UCCAGACUCCUACGGGAGGCAGCAGUGAGGAAUAUUGGUCAAUGGCCGGAAGGCUGAACCAGCCAAGCCGCGUGAAGGACGAAGGUGCCAAGCAUUGUAAACUUCUUUUGUCAAGGGACAAAAUCAGGCUCGAGAGCCUGACCGAGGGUACUUGAAGAAAAAGCAUCGGCUAACUCCGUGCCAGCAGCCGCGGUAAUACGGAGGAUGCGAGCGUUAUCCGGAUUUAUUGGGUUUAAAGGGUGCGUAGGCGGGGCUGUAAGGCAGGGGGAAAAGGCCGGGGGCCAACCCCCGGCGAGCCGUUGAAACUGGGUGCCUUGAGUGGGCGAGAAGUACGCGGAAUGCGUGGUGUAGCGGUGAAAUGCAUAGAUAUCACGCAGAACUCCGAUUGCGAAGGCAGCGUACCGGCGCCCAACUGACGCUGAAGCACGAAGGCGUGGGUAUCGAACAGGAUUAGAUACCCGAGUA